UUAAAGAAUUAAAUGGAUGAAAUAUGAAGUUUUAUUAAAAGAAAAAGGGGUGAAAAGAACAAAGUUUUGUCCAUCUUUGUUCAUCAUAGCUGAAAGUUAGAGAAGAGAAAGGAGAGGAGAAAGCUCUUGAGUGUUCGGUCACUUGGGGAAGAAAAUUAAAGGUAAGCUCAUGGUAGUUGGCUUCUAUCUUGAUGUUCAUGAGUUCUUCUUGAUUCUACCUUAACUCUUGAAGUAUAUUUUGGUUUUUAGUUGUGUUGUGAGCAUUUAGUCAUGAAUUAAAAUGAAGGAAAUGGUUGUUGUUUCAUGUUCUUUUGAUGAAAAAAAAUGGAAGAUAGGUGAAGUUGAGCCAAACAAAUGAGCAUGCAUGUGCCUUAGAUGUUAAAGGGAAAAAUCAGCUAACAUGUUGUGCUUUAAAAUGAUGAAAUGGAGAUUAUUCUUAAGUAAAAUCAUAGAUAUGUGAUGAUUGAUUGGUGAUAUACAUGUUUAAAUAACAUGCAUGCAAGGUAUGUGUGAAAGAGUGAUUUGGUAAUAAAUCUGCUUGGGAUAGCAGCAGUAACUUGAAUUUUGAAAAUCACCAUAAAUUGUGGGAGAUGAAUUAGAAGCUGAAUAAAUUAUGUAAUUAAAGCUUAUUGAGUCUAGUUUCUAAUGAAAUAAACAAGAACAUAUUUUGAAUUCUGUACAAUUAUAAAUUUGAUUCGUAAUGAAGAGUGGUCAGAUUAGUCAAACAGUGAAACAUGGGAAACUUUGAUAAAAAUCUGGUAUUGAUUGGCUAAAUCAAAAAUUCUGAAAAUUUUAUGGAUAGAAGAUAUAUGAGUAUAUUUUCAGGAAAAAUUAACGGAACUUGAUUUGGAGUUUCGUAGCUCCAGUUAUAAAUAAUUUAGUGACUGUUGCUCAGGAAGACAGCUUGCAGUGAAAUUAUGAUUAUGUGGUAAACAUUGACAAAAAUUUAUUAAUGAGUUGCUUAUUGAUUUCUUAUAAGCUUACUAUGAUCUGUAGGUGUGGUUGGCCAAAUAUUAUAAGGGGUUAAUACGUAGUUUGUAUUUGAAUAGUUAGAUUAACGUGUUAGUAAUCCAAUUGAAGGCAGUUCGUGUGUGGAUCUCGUCAGCAUAUCGUCGCAAACAGGUGUGUAACUAACACCCUCUUUCUUAGUCUGGAUCGGCAAAAGCCGAAAAGCUAAAAUGCCGAAAACCGGUAUUUUGUAGAUUUGCGAGUGUGCGAAUGCUCGUGAGGUAAAUCGAUUAAUGUUUUUGGUAAGCUGCAAUGUUUGGACUGCAAAGUGCAUGAUUUCUGUGCCCUCGAUAUUUUUGGGCUUAAUGGGCCAAAAUUGGAAUGAUGGGCCAACGGGCCCAAUUCGGUAAGAACCGUCGGUAGUGAUUCUGUUAGUACGUGAAAGGUAGGAAUAUGCAUGAAAAACCCUAAAAUAGAUAAAUUACUGAAAUACCUUUAAAAGUGGAAAAUUUAUAGUUUUACCCCUAGGAGAUAAAUUACCGAAAUACCCCUAGGGUUAAAUUGACCUAAAUGCAUGUUUGACUGUUGUUAUUUACUGCAUGCCAUGUUGUUAUUAUCUGAUGCAUGGGACUGGGAUAUUGACGUAGGAAGUACUAAAAGUGGCUUGUCCACGUACUGGAGGCUUUGCCUCAAUUUACUGUUAGCUGAGCAGCAAGGCUGCAACUGUAGAGUGUUGGGCUGGGUGGGUUGAGCUAUUCCUCACAUGGAGUGUAUGGCUGGUACGGGUGGAGUGUAGUGGUUGGUGGGUUGAGUAGUCUCCCCAAAUGGGCUUGCAUAUGUUUACUGAUGUUGCAUGUAUUUUGAAAUGGGCCUAUGGGCCAUACUGUUAUUUGAAUAAGGGGCUAAGGCCCAGUUUAUUGUAAUCUGAAAAAGGCUCUGGCCCAGUACCACUGUUACCCAAAUGGGCUUGCAUAUGUUUACUGAUGUUGCAUGUAUUUUGAAAUGGGCCUAUGAGCCAUACUGUUAUCUGAAUAAGGGGCUAAGGCCCGGUUUAUUGUAAUCUGAAAAGGGCUCUGGCCCAGUACCACUGUUACCUGAAUGGGCUUAGGCCUAAUGGGAUUGAGCUAACUUGGGCUUUGAAUGGGUUUUCCUUAUACACUGAGUUUCCCCAAACUCACCCCUUUUGUUUUCAUCCACGCAGGAAAUCCCCAACCAUAGUGGGCUUGGAGCUGUGAGGGAAUUCGGAGUGGCCACCCGUUCUGAAAGUUUGAUUUUCUUCUGGUGAACUUGACAUCCUUUUAUUUACGUUUGAAGUUUUGGGUUUUUAAAUGUAAUAAGGCCGCUUAAUUAUUUUUGAUGGUUUUAAUAUGUAUUACUAAGAUAGGUAAUACUUAUUUUAACUGUUGAAAUUGGAUAGCUUUAGGGCGCGUUUUCAAAAACAACAGUUGAUUUCAAAAUAACACGACAACAAGCAAAGCUUCCGCAAUGAAAGUAUUUUUCCAAAAUUAAUCACUUUUCCUAAAAAUGACUUAAUCAAAUCGGUUUCCUAGAAAUAUCCAUGACGUUAAGGUGUGGCAAUGGUGGUAUGCAUGUCUAGGAUUUGUUCCGAAGGGAGCUUGGUACUUAAGCAGUCCGAUGGACUCACCACCUCUUUUCCGGUUUCCUACCUGGUGCACAGCUUCCAUUCACUUUAACCCUUAAUGAAUUAAUCUUUUGAACAUCAAGUACGAUUUUCUGGACUUAGAAUGGAAAUUUUUUUUUUAACAUUUUUGAUGUGGCAUGUCGGAUCCGACCAUAACUUCUGGGCCGGAUUUGGGGUGCUACAUAUACUACACCGAAUUAAUAUUGGUAAUUAGGCUACUUAAUGGAUAAUUACGAUACUUUCCCAUAUAUCUGUUCCAUAUAUAUAGCUUUCUAAUAUAUCUUCC
rnacentral:lncRNA from 1 species